GCUGGCAAAGGCAAACCAUAAGCAAUUAUGGCACGCAAAGUUACAGGCCCAUUUCGCAUUUUGAAAUGGGCAGCUGAACUACCGAAU
rnacentral:ncRNA from 1 species